rnacentral:rRNA from 1 species
GACGAACGCUGGCGGCGUGCCUAAUACAUGCAAGUCGAACGGUCUUUUCUAUGGAAGCUUGCUUCCACUGAGAAGAUAGUGGCGAACGGGUGAGUAACACGUGGGUAACCUGCCCAUAAGAGGGGGAUAACAUCCGGAAACGGGUGCUAAUACCGCAUAGUUUUCUCGAUCGCAUGAUUGAGAAAGGAAAGACGGCCUUUGUGCUGUCGCUUAUGGAUGGACCCGCGGCGUAUUAGUUAGUUGGUGAGGUAAUGGCUCACCAAGACGAUGAUACGUAGCCGACCUGAGAGGGUGAUCGGCCACAUUGGGACUGAGACACGGCCCAAACUCCUACGGGAGGCAGCAGUAGGGAAUCUUCCGCAAUGGACGAAAGUCUGACGGAGCAACGCCGCGUGAGUGAAGAAGGUUUUCGGAUCGUAAAACUCUGUUGUCAGAGAAGAACAAGUUGGAGAGUAACUGCUCCAGCCUUGACGGUAUCUGACCAGAAAGCCACGGCUAACUACGUGCCAGCCGCCGCCGUAAAAC